CGGCGUGUAGCUCAGCAGCAGAGCACCGGGCUCGGACCCGGAGGGCGCAGGGGCAGCACCUGCCGCGCCG
rnacentral:tRNA from 1 species